CGGUGAUUAACCGAAGGAAGUGCGGCAAUAACAGGUCUGUGAUGCCCUUAGAUGUCCUAGGCUGCACGCGCGCUACACUGUCUCGUACAAUGAGUUAAUAUAGCUAGUCCGAAGGUACUGGCGAAUCUUGUGAAUGCUUGACGUGAUGGGGAUUGAUCAUUGAAAUUAUUGGUCAUGAACGAGGAAUUCCUUGUAGGUAUGCUUCAUCAAAGCAUGCCGACUACGUCCCUGCCCUUUGUACACACCGCCCGUCGCUCCUACCGAUUGAGUGAUCAGAUGAAAUCCGCGGAUCCGGGCUUGGCUUGCCUCGUUUGGAGAAGUAGAGUAAAUCUUAUUGCUUAGAGGAAGGAGAAGUCGUAACAAGGUUUCCGUAGGUGAACCUGCGGAAGGAUCAUUA
rnacentral:ncRNA from 1 species